AAGGUAGUGUAGUUAACACCUGCAUUAUUUGACGUUACCUACACGAAGAAGACACCGGCGUAACUACCGUGCCAGCAGCCGCGGUAAGUACGGAGGGGUGCGAGUGUUAAUCGGAAUUACUGGGCGUAAAGACGCAUGCAGGCGGCCUCGUUAAGUCAGAUGUGAAAGCCCGGGGCUUAACCUCGGAAUUGCAUUUGAAACUGGCAGGCUAGAGUCUUGUAGAGGGGGGUAGGAAUUUCAGGUGUAGCGGUGAAAUGCGUAGAGAUCUGAAGGAAUACCAGUGGCGAAGGCGGCCCCCUGGACAAAGACUGACGCUCAGAUGCGAAAGCGUGGGGAGCAAACAGGAUUAGAUACCCUGGUAG
rnacentral:rRNA from 1 species